GCUGACUCCGGACAGUGUGGCGCGGUAAGAAGGAGGGGUCGAGGCUGGUUCGGAAUGACUAGGCGUAAAGCGCGCGUAGGCGGUGACUCAAGUCAGAGGUGAAAGCCCUGGGCUCAACCCCGGAACUGCCUUUGAAACUAGGUGACUAGAAUCUUGGAGAGGUCAGUGGAAUUCCGAGUGUAGAGGUGAAAUUCGUAGAUAUUCGGAAGAACACCAGUGGCGAAGGCGACUGACUGGACAAGUAUUGACGCUGAGGUGCGAAAGCGUGGGGAGCAAACAGGAUUAGAUACCCGAGUAGUC
rnacentral:rRNA from 1 species